rnacentral:lncRNA from 1 species
UGUUUCCUUUUGUUCUCUCUAGCCAAUGCCAGAUUCUUGCAUUGUGAGGAAAAAAUAAGCACCCUAUUCAUUUUUUCUGCAAAAUGUUAUAUCUCGUUAAUAUACUUCAGUAUUCUUCUUUGACUGAAAAGUUUGCCUAUUUGGUUUAGAAGCCACUCCAUAAUAGUCUCCUUGUUGAAUUUCUUUAGUCCUUCUAAUUCUUACUAAUACUAAUGCAUGACCAGAAUUACAUGUAAUGAUUAAGGUGUACACUGAGUUUAGGGAUUAUAUGGAAUUAUGAUGACUGGUUUGUUUUGUGCUCCUUUUCCAAAGCCUUCUGAUCAUUCUGUUGGCUUUUUGUCUUCUGAGCUCCCAUACCUGUGAAGAGACCAUUUGUGACUGGCAAAAGAUAACAGUUCAUAAAAUGCUAUUCAGCAACAAGAGAUAAGUAUGAAAGUACAGAGAGAAGAGUAUUCAGAACACAGCAGUGAUCAUGGACACUGAUAGUCUGGAAGUCAUCAAAUGAGUGGGGCCUGAUUGCCAACUUGGAAAGUUUGGCUUUAAGUGUUCACUCACCUACUGAUGUGGAGCCAAGUUUUGGUUCAGUCUCUAACCUUUUGUGGACAUAUGUCUGGAAGGGAUGGUCUGUGCCACUGAGUUCAGCCUUCUCUGCAGGAAACCUCACCACACAGGCAACUGGGGAGACAGCAUUGAAACAUCAACAGCAAGAAUCCUGGCUGGUUUCUGGAGGAAAGUAUGGGAAGAAUGAAAAGGCCAAAAUGUCAUAGGUGACACCACCAGUGAGGUAUUUACACUAUAAAGUAUUACUUGCAGAAGAAAAUGGGAAACAUUACAAUUAGGAGGAGUGGGGUGUUGAGAAGCAUUCCACCUUUGGGUCAGCUCCAGCCUAAUUGAGCUGCAUGACCCUAAGGAUUCAGCUGAAGUUAUAAGGUGAUUCUUUCUUGGUUGUUUGUUACACUGCUAACGCUGUUUACAAGCACAGUUGUUUCCUACAAACUAUGAUCACCUCUCAGUGUGGAAGUAUGUUUUAGUUCUGGAUAGCAUUUUUGUAGCUAAUUAUUCUGUUUUAUUGGUAUUGCACCAUAAAAGUGCUUACCAUUUUGGAUUAUUUUGAAAGCACAUUGUUUCCCAUAGAAAAGCAAGCUAACUUACAAGUGAGCACAAGUAAUUUUACUUUAAUGUAAUCAAUAUCACAGUUUGCCUUUAAUGGAUGAUCAAAAAUUCACAACUAAUAAUUUUCAUACUUUGCAGAUAUUCAGAUAAGGUGCACAAAUCCAUAAAAACAAGCUAGCUUCGGGACUUGUAGUUCUGUGUGUCUUGCCUGCUGUGUAUAAGCAACACCAAACAAAGCCAAACAAGCUGUUGGCCUGUUCCUAUGUUGCAAUCUUGUGGAAUAUUAUAUUCUCUAGAAGUGUCAAUUCCUUUUAGCCCCCAGAGUUGCUCAGAUUUCUACAUCUUUAAGGGUUUUUCCAUUAGGAAAAGUAAUUGAUGAAAUUUGAUAUGAUUCUUGAUUUUAGGAAUAAUGGACAUUAUCACUUGAUUUAUGGAGCACCAAGAAAUUCACAUGAAUUGGAAUAAUUUAUUUGCCUGUAGUUCCCAGACUUUUUGAAGGCAACUGUAGUCUAAAAAUCUUCUUUCCAGCAUUUCUGAUGUCACACAGACAGAAUUAGAGCAGCUUCCGAGUGACUUCCUCAGUUCUGAAAUUAUUUCUAAAUCCUCAGAAAAUCAGCUGAAUGUUUGACCCUCCUAUUGUCUGCACCUACACAGUACCCAGCGUGAGCACAAUAUUUUCUACUGCCCAUUAUAUAAAUCAAAGUUGUAGUUGUUUCAUGUGGUCUCUGAAUGGAAAGUGGUUCUCAUGGCCCCUACUUUGAAGAAAACGGUUGAACUGUCCAAAGCCCAACACAGUCAGCAUGCUCUUCAGAAUGAAUUUUUUCAUAUUGUGAAGCAGAUCCUUUUGGAAUUGUACAGAAUCUCUUAGCUUAGC